rnacentral:rRNA from 1 species
UACAGAGGUCUCAAGCGUUGUUCGGAUUCAUUGGGCGUAAAGGGUGCGUAGGUGGCGGGGCAAGUCAGGUGUGAAAUCUCGGGGCUCAACCCCGAAACUGCACUUGAUACUGCUUUGCUCGAGUACUGGAGAGGAGACUGGAAUUUACGGUGUAGCAGUGAAAUGCGUAGAUAUCGUAAGGAAGACCAGUGGCGAAGGCGGAUCUCUGGACAGUUACUGACACUGAGGCACGAAGGCCAGGGGAGCAAACGGG